rnacentral:miRNA from 1 species
CGUGACAACACAUCAUUGGAUGCA